rnacentral:rRNA from 1 species
UUAAAUUGAAGAGUUUGAUCAUGGCUCAGAUUGAACGCUGGCGGCAGGCCUAACACAUGCAAGUCGAACGGUAACAGGAAUCAGCUUGCUGAUUCGCUGACGAGUGGCGGACGGGUGAGUAAUGUCUGGGAAACUGCCUGAUGGAGGGGG